GAAAUGCGAUAAGUAAUGUGAAUUGCAGAAUUCAGUGAAUCAUCGAAUCUUUGAACGCACAUUGCGCCCGCCAGUAUUCUGGCGGGCAUGCCUGUCCGAGCGUCAUUUCAACUAUCAAGCCCCCGGGCUUGUGUUGGGGACCUGCGGCUGCCCGCAGGCCCUGAAAACCAGUGGCGGGCUCGCUGUCACACCGAGCGUAGUAGCAAUCACCUCGCUCAGGGCGUGCUGCGGGUUCCGGCCGUUAAACAGCCUUACAAAACCCAAGGUUGACCUCGGAUCAGGUAGGAAGACCCGCUGAACUUAAGC
rnacentral:misc_RNA from 1 species